rnacentral:rRNA from 1 species
GAUGAACGCUGGCGGCGUGCCUAAUACAUGCAAGUCGAGCGAACGGACGAGAAGCUUGCUUCUCUGAUGUUAGCGGCGGACGGGUGAGUAACACGUGGAUAACAUACCUAUAAGACUGGGAUAACUUCGGGAAACCGGAGCUAAUACCGGAUAAUAUUUUGAACCGCAUGGUUCAAAAGUGAAAGACGGUCUUGCUGUCACUUAUAGAUGGAUCCGCGCUGCAUUAGCUAGUUGGUAAGGUAACGGCUUACCAAGGCAACGAUGCAUAGCCGACCUGAGAGGGUGAUCGGCCACACUGGAACUGAGACACGGUCCAGACUCCUACGGGAGGCAGCAGUAGGGAAUCUUCCGCAAUGGGCGAAAGCCUGACGGAGCAACGCCGCGUGAGUGAUGAAGGUCUUCGGAUCGUAAAACUCUGUUAUUAGGGAAGAACAUAUGUGUAAGUAACUGUGCACAUCUUGACGGUACCUAAUCAGAAAGCCACGGCUAACUACGUG